CAAGUCGAACGGGGAGCUUCGGUGUAGCAAUACAUCGGAGCUUCUAGUGGCGUACGGGUGAGUAACACGUGGGCAACUUGCCCUAGAGACCGGGAUACCCUCUCGAAAGGGAGGCUAAUACUGGAUACGUUCUUCGGGUCGCAAGAUCUGGAGAGGAAAGGUGGCGCAAGCUACCGCUCUUGGAGAGGCUCGCGGCCUAUCAGCUAGUUGGUGAGGUAAUGGCUCACCAAGGCUAUGACGGGUAGCUGGUCUGAGAGGACGACCAGCCACACGGGAACUGAGACACGGUCCCGACUCCUACGGGAGGCAGCAGUGGGGAAUUUUCCGCAAUGGGCGAAAGCCUGACGGAGUGACGCCGCGUGGGGGACGAAGGCCUUCGGGUUGUAAACCCCUGUCAGAGGGAAAGAAGGGUGUCGGUGUGAUAACCGCCGGCACUUGACGGUACCUUCAGAGGAAGCCCCGGCCAACUCUGUGCCAGCAGCCGCGGUAAGACAGAGGGGGCAAGCGUUGCUCGGAAUCACUGGGCGUAAAGGGCGCGUAGGCGGGAUGGCAAGUCGGUCGUGAAAUCUCUCGGCUCAACCGAGAAAUGUCGGCCGAUACUGCUGUUCUUGAGGGAUGCAGAGGAGACUGGAAUUCCCGGUGUAGCGGUGAAAUGUGUAGAGAUCGGGAGGAACACCGGUGGCGAAGGCGGGUCUCUGGGCAUUUCCUGACGCUGAGGCGCGAAAGCGUGGGGAGCAAACGGGAUUAGAUACCCCGGUAGUCCACGCUGUAAACGAUGACGACUAGGUGU
rnacentral:rRNA from 1 species